rnacentral:rRNA from 1 species
AUGAACGCUAGCGACAGGCCUAACACAUGCAAGUCGAGGGGCAGCACAAGGAGCAAUCUGAGGUGGCGACCGGCGCACGGGUGAGUAACACGUAUGCAACCUGCCUGUAAGCGGGGAAUAACCCGUUGAAAGACGGACUAAUACCGCAUAAUACUAAAUUACUGCAUGGUAAUUUAUUUAAACAUUUAUGGCUUACAGAUGGGCAUGCGCAUGAUUAGCUAGUUGGAGAGGUAACGGCUCCCCAAGGCAACGAUCAUUAGGGGUUCUGAGAGGAAGGUCCCCACACUGGUACUGAGACACGGACCAGACUCCUACGGGAGGCAGCAGUGAGGAAUAUUGGUCAAUGGACGAGAGUCUGAACCAGCCAAGUCGCGUGCAGGAAGAAUGUCCUAAUGGAUUGUAAACUGCUUUUGCAAGGGAAUAAAGUGCAUCACGUGUGAUGUUUUGUAUGUACUCUGCGAAUAAGGAUCGGCUAACUCCGUGCCAGCAGCAGC